UUGUGGCUAUAUCAAGUUGAAACAUCGGCUCUCGUACGAUUGCCGAAGUUAAGCAACAUCGACCCUGCUCAGUACCUAGAUGGGUGACCGUUUCGGAAUACCAGGUUCUGUAA